rnacentral:tRNA from 1 species
AGCGGUUGAAGUGUUUGGCUGCUAACCAAAAGGUCGGUGGCUCAAACCCACCAGCUGCUC